rnacentral:rRNA from 1 species
GAGUUUGAUCGUGGCUCAGGAUGAACGCUGGCGGCGUGCCUAAUACAUGCAAAGUCGAGCGAACAGACGAGGAGCUUGCUCCUCUGACGUUAGCGGCGGACGGGUGAGUAACACGUGGAUAACCUACCUAUAAGACUGGGAUAACUUCGGGAAACCGGAGCUAAUACCGAAUAAUAUAUUGAACCGCAUGGUUCAAUAGUGAAAAACGGUUUUGCUGUCACUUAUAGAUGGAUCCGCGCCGCAUUAGCUAGUUGGUAGGGUAACGGCUUACCAAGGCGACGAUGCGUAGCCGACCUGAGAGGGUGAUCGGCCACACUGGAACUGAGACACGGUCCAGACUCCUACGGGAGGCAGCAGUAGGGAAUCUUCCGCAAUGGGCGAAAGCCUGACGGAGCAACGCCGCGUGAGUGAUGAAGGUCUUCGGAUCGUAAAACUCUGUUAUUAGGGAAGAACAAAUGUAGUAAGUAACUAUGCACGUCUUGACGGUACCUAA